AUGACCUCUCAGAUAAGGGUAGUCACCCCUGAAAGUGUGAAGCUGCACUCUGCAGGAGCCAGAUGGAUCCUCUCAAGCAAUUCGGUGGCAGCAAUAAGGACUUCUUCCAACCACUUUGCAGAAUCGGAGCUGGGAACAACGCUCGGCUAGAUCAUAUAUUGACCAGGACUGCAUAAUUAUGCAUGCUUUCUUACCCUUUGUUCCAAUUCUAUAUAAGCCGAAGCAACCUAUUUUAUUUAUUUAUUACGGAUACAACAUUCUGCUUUCAUGUAUAUCUGCACACCAGAAGAGGGCACCAGAUCCCAUUCAAGUUUAUUAACUACACCAUAAGAGGACAACCAACCACCUGGACAGUAGCUAUGAUAACCUGCAAGCCAUGCAUAGCACUUUGGUGGUGGUGGUGGAGGUGGUGUGGCCUUUAACUCCUAAUCCUCCUGACUCUGCCUUUUGAUGACUGGGAUUACAGGGCACCUACUCUAUUCUGGCUUCUGUGAGCUCCAGGAACAUAUGUGGUGCACAGACAUAUAUGCAGAGCAUGGGUGAGGGUUACAGAGGUGGGUGACCCUAAAACAGCUGCACCACUGGAAAAUCACACUCCAGCAUGGAC
ensembl:lncRNA